GAGGAUAUAGCUCAGUGGUAGAGUGUUUGACUAUAGCUCAAGUGGUCAUUGGUUCAAAUCCAAGUGCCCUUU